ensembl:lncRNA
CUUCCAUGCCCGAUGGUGGCACUCAGCUUCCUGUCCUGGGCAUCCGAUAGGCAGCUGAUCCCUAUUUUGUAAAAGAAAUGAGUCCUGCAGCUCUGGUUGAGGAGGGGCCCUGUGCGCACACAUGAUGCAGAACCUGGAGAGGCAAGGGAAGCUGGGGAUCGACCUGAGCACCAAGGCGGACCCAAGCUAGGAGAGAAGUUGAGCUCCCGUCCUUCUAUUCCGCCAUCUUAAUCCCCUCCUCGAGAAACGCUGAAGGCUGACCAUCAUCUUAAAUACCUGAAGAUGCAAGGAGCCAAAUCCAUCGUAAUCCUGAUUUAAACAAACUGUAAAAAUGCUUUUUUUAAAAAAACAGAGGAAAAUAAACUCUGACCUAUGUAAUAAGUGAUAUUUCA